rnacentral:rRNA from 1 species
GUAGGCGGUUUGUCGCGUCUGCUGUGAAAGGCCGGGGCUUAACUCCGUGUAUUGCAGUGGGUACGGGCAGACUAGAGUGCAGUAGGGGAGACUGGAAUUCCUGGUGUAGCGGUGGAAUGCGCAGAUAUCAGGAGGAACACCGAUGGCGAAGGCAGGUCUCUGGGCUGUAACUGACGCUGAGAAGCGAAAGCAUGGGGAGCGAACAGGAUUAGAUACCCUGGUAGUCCAUGCCGUAAACGUUGGGCACUAGGUGUGGGGGACAUUCCACGUUUUCCGCGCCGUAGCUAACGCAUUAAGUGCCCCGCCUGGGGAGUACGGCCGCAAGGCUAAAACUCAAAGAAAUUGACGGGGGCCCGCACAAGCGGCGGAGCAUGCGGAUUAAUUCGAUGCAACGCGAAGAACCUUACCAAGGCUUGACAUAUACUGGACCGCAUCAGAGAUGGUGUUUCCCUUCGGGGCUGGUAUACAGGUGGUGCAUGGUUGUCGUCAGCUCGUGUCGUGAG